AGGGGAAGUAGAGGGAGUUGGCCUUGCUCUGCUUGGUUUCACUUCCGUGUGUCAUGGACUGGACCCCUCGUCAAGGCAGUAAGAUUAACUUCUGCAAUAUCCUUUUGUGGGAAAGAAAGAAGACUUCUGCAUAAACUCCAGCUCAUAAAGGAUGACACACAUGGACAUGAGCCCUAUUUACCAGACCUGGAUGGUAUAUGUGCACAUAUACACCAAGGCAACUACAAAUUUG